rnacentral:tRNA from 1 species
GCCCGCGUGGUGGAAAGGCAGACACAGGGGACUUAAAAUCCCUCGCCGCAGGGCAUGCCGGUUCGAAUCCGGCCGCGGGCACCA